rnacentral:misc_RNA from 1 species
UUUCCGUAGGUGAACCUGCGGAAGGAUCAUUACAGGGUUCAUGCCCUCACGGGUAGAUCUCCCACCCUUGAAUAUUUAUACCUUAGUUGCUUUGGCAGGCCGUGGAAACACCAUGGGCUCCGGCUUAUGCGUGCCUGCCAGAGGAAACAAACUCUGUUUUUAGUGAUGUCUGAGUACUAUAUAAUAGUUAAAACUUUCAACAACGGAUCUCUUGGUUCUG